rfam:Schistosoma curassoni strain Dakar, Senegal genome assembly, scaffold: SCTD_scaffold0001796
GUCUAACUGACGAGUCCCAAAUAAGGCGAAACGCGCCUCAUAGAU